rnacentral:rRNA from 1 species
AGUGAACGCUGGCGGUAGGCCUAACACAUGCAAGUCGAACGGCAGCACAGUAAGAGCUUGCUCUUACGGGUGGCGAGUGGCGGACGGGUGAGGAAUACAUCGGAAUCUACUUUUUCGCGGGGGAUAACGUAGGGAAACUUACGCUAAUACCGCAUAUGACCUACGGGUGAAAGCAGGGGAUCUUCGGACCUUGCGCGAUUGAAUGAGCCGAUGUCGGAUUAGCUAGUUGGCGGGGUAAAGGCCCACCAAGGCGACGAUCCGUAGCUGGUCUGAGAGGAUGAUCAGCCACACUGGAACUGAGACACGGUCCAGACUCCUACGGGAGGCAGCAGUGGGGAAUAUUGGACAAUGGGCGCAAGCCUGAUCCAGCCAUACCGCGUGGGUGAAGAAGGCCUUCGGGUUGUAAAGCCCUUUUGUUGGGAAAGAAAAGCAGCAGGUUAAUACCCCGCUGUUCUGACGGUACCCAAAGAAUAAGCACCGGCUAACUUCGUG